rnacentral:lncRNA from 1 species
UUAUUUUUGUUGACAAAAAUACCCUCCAUAUCCGUUAUCUCCUAUGUACGCCGCGUUUCUUAAAUAUUUUUUUUCUACCCACCAAUCAUUUAAUACGUAAAACUAAAUUUAUCUUUUAUCUAACGUAAUACCCGCCAAUCAUGUAAUACCUCCGCUAAUCACGUAAUACUUAAAAUUAAAUUUAUUUCCUAUCCACACAUUUUUUCAAAUAUUUUUUCUUAUCAAACAUAAUACCUGUCAACACAUAGUAUUCAAAAUUAAAUUUUAAAUUUGUAAUGCCCGCCAAAAUUUAAUACCCGCGAAUUUGAUAAUUUGAAUUUUAAUUUAUGAUAGUAGAUUUUUUCUUACAUAAGAUAGUAAAUUUAAUUUUGACGAGUAUUAAA